AUUGGUAGAGGCGCGGGGCUCAUGAGUAGCCUGCGGCACCGGCCCGGCAAGGCCGCCGCAGGGGAAAGGGAUCCCCGCCGAAGAAAACGGAGGCUUGCCGGCCGCCGGAUUCUGGGCCGUCGCAGAAGAUGCGCCGGACUGUCACGAACCCCUCGUGGAGCGCUAUC
rnacentral:ncRNA from 1 species